GGUGGCUCAGUGGUAGAGCGCUUGCCUUGCAAUGCACGAGACCCUGGGUUCGAUUCCUCAGCACCA
rnacentral:tRNA from 1 species